rnacentral:rRNA from 1 species
GACGAACGCUGGCGGCGUGCCUAAUACAUGCAAGUCGAACGCUGAAGGAGUAGCUUUCUUCUCUGUAUGAUUUGCGCACGUGUGAGUAACUCGUUUGUAACCUUCCUGGUAGCGUGGGAUAACUAUUGGAAACGAUAGCUAAUACCGCAUAAUUUUUACUAUUUCAUUAUAUUCUGUUUAUAUUUGCAACUUCUCCACUACCAUAUGUCUCUGAGUUGUUUUAGCUAGUUGGUGUGGUUACGGCUCACCAAGGCGACUAUACAGAUCCGACCUGUGAGGGUGAUCGGCCAAAAUGGGAAUGGGACAAGGCCCAGAAUCCUACGGGAGGCAGCAGUAGGGAAACUUCGGAAAUGGACGGAAGUCUGACCGAGAAAAGCCGAGUGAGUGAAGAAGGUUGUCGGAUCGUAAAGCUCUGUUGUAAGAGAAGAAAGAGAGUGAGAGUGGAAAGCUCACACUGUGACGGUAUCUUAACAGAAAGGGACGGCUAACUACGUG